rnacentral:rRNA from 1 species
GACGAACGCUGGCGGCGUGCUUAACACAUGCAAGUCGAACGGAAAGGCUCCAGCUUGCUGGAGUACUCGAGUGGCGAACGGGUGAGUAACACGUGGGUGAUCUGCCCUGCACUUUGGGAUAAGCCUGGGAAACUGGGGCUAAUACCGGAUAGGACCGCCCGCUGGUUGGUGUGGGGGGAAGGGUUUUGUGGGGUGGGGUUGGCUCGCGGCCUAUCCGUUUGUUUGUGGGGGAAGUGCCUACCAAGGCGGUUGCGGGUAGGCGGGCCGGGGGGGGGGACGGGCACAAUGGGAAUGAGAAUACGGCCAGAAUCCUACCGGGGGGAGCAGGGGGGAAUAUUGGAACAUGGGGGGGAACCCGAUGGAAGGACCCCGGCUGGGGGAAGAAGGCCCUUCGGUUGUAAACUCGCUUCGCUAGGGAAGAAGCUGUUUGUGACGGUACCUGGAGAAGAAGCACCGGCUAACUACGUG